UACAGAGGGUGCUAGCGUUGUUCGGAAUCAUUGGGCGUAAAGGGCGUGUAGGCGGUUUGUUAAGUCAUGUGUGAAAUCCCUCGGCUUAACCGGGGAACUGCGUCUGAUACUGGAUGGCUUGAGUUCGGGAGAGGGAUGCGGAAUUCCAGGUGUAGCGGUGAAAUGCGUAGAUAUCUGGAGGAACACCGGUGGCGAAGGCGGCAUCCUGGACCGAUACUGACGCUGAUGAGCGAAAGCCAGGGGAGCAAACGGG
rnacentral:rRNA from 1 species